rfam:Operophtera brumata OBRT01_Sc04384, whole genome shotgun sequence.
CACAAGGCCCUUUUUAGGGCCAUCAUAACUGUUCCUUGACCUGAAAG